rnacentral:rRNA from 1 species
CCUAGAGGGGGACAACAGUUGGAAACGACUGCUAAUACCGCAUACGAUCUAAUCUCGGCAUCGAGGAUAGAUGAAAGGUGGUCUCUACAUGUAAGCUAUCACUGAAGGAGGGGAUUGCGUCUGAUUAGCUAGUUGGAGGGGUAACGGCCCACCAAGGCGAUGAUCAGUAGCCGGUCUGAGAGGAUGAACGGCCACAUUGGGACUGAGACACGGCCCAG